rnacentral:rRNA from 1 species
AAGGGCACCACAAGAACGCGUGGAGCAUGUGGCUUAAUUUGACUCAACGCGGGAAAUCUUACCGGGUCCGGACACACUGAGGAUUGACAGGCAAUAUUAAUACGUGUUCGCACGUAUUAUGUUAAAUAUGCUAGUCCUUUCAUGAUUAUGUGAUAGGUGGUGCAUGGCCGUUCUUAGUUCGUGGAGUGAUCUGUCUGCUUAAUUGCGUUUCACUAAGGGCCUAUAAAUUUACGUGUGUUGCGGCACUUUGACCCCUUUCUUCGGAAAGCGCGUGUCUUAGUUUGCUUUGCUCACACAAUUAGGUCCUGAAAGCAACGAACGUGACCGCAACCUCUUGUUGCCUUUAUACCAAACAUGUUUGUCAUUUUUAUGGCAUUCAUGAAAAAAGGCUUUUUAAACUAGAGGGACCGCUGUUACUUUCUUAAACCAGAGGAAGGUUGCGGCAAUAACAGGUCUGUGAUGCCCUUAGAUGUUCCGGGCUGCACACGUGCUACAAUGAUUAUUGCAGUGAGCAUCUCAUUUUUACACACCGCAUGCGCGAGUCCAUUUAUUCACUUCGGUGCUUUAAAUGUGUAUUUCUGCGCGCGGUAAAGCCUGCUUCGAAAGUAAGUGGGUAAUCAAUUAGAAGUAAUGAUUUCCUUUUUAGCACACAUAUAUACGGCGUCUAUACCCGGGUUACCUUGUUGUAACUUUUGUGUGUAUAGAUGUUUUUUCCGUAUGUGCGAUUGUCAAUUCAUGGUGGGGACAGGCCAUUGUUAAUUGUUGGUCUCGGUCUUAACUAGGAAUGCCUUGUACGGGUCUUUGGUUCAACAAACCACCCGGAAUACGUCCCUGCCCUUUGUACACACCGCCCGUCGCUCUUACCGAUGGACUUCUCUGUGAGUUUGAGGGACUGGGAACGCAGAAUUUAUUCUGCACACCUAUGGAAACUUAAACGAACAGUGUGGUCUAAAGGAAAGAGAAGUCGUAACAAGACAUCGGUAGGUGAACCUGCAGAAGGAUCA